CCUACGGGAGGCAGCAGUGGGGAAUAUUGCACAAUGGGGGAAACCCUGAUGCAGCGACGCCGCGUGAGUGAAGAAGUAUUUCGGUAUGUAAAGCUCUAUCAGCAGGGAAGAAGAAAGACGGUACCUGACUAAGAAGCCCCGGCUAACUACGUGCCAGCAGCCGCGGGAAUACGUAGGGGGCAAGCGUUAUCCGGAUUUACUGGGGGUAAAGGGAGCGUAGACGGCCGUGCAAGUCUGAAGUGAAAGCCCAGGGCUCAACCCUGGGACUGCUUUGGAAACUGUGGAUCUAGAGUGCUGGAGAGGUAAGUGGAAUUCCUAGGGUAGCGGUGAAAUGCGUAGAGAUGAGGAGGAACACCAGUGGCGAAGGCGGCUUACUGGACAGUAACUGACGUUGAGGCUCGAAAGCGUGGGGAGCAAACAGGAUUAGAUACCCCAGUAGUC
rnacentral:rRNA from 1 species